CCUACGGGGGGCAGCAGGCGCGAAACCUCCGCAAUGUGAGAAAUCGCGACGGGGGGAUCCCAAGUGCCAUUCUUAACGGGAUGGCUUUUCAUUAGUGUAAAGAGCUUUUGGAAUAAGGGCUGGGCAAGACCGGUGCCAGCCGCCGCGGUAACACCGGCAGCUCUAGUGGUAGCAGUUUUUAUUGGGCCUAAAGCGUCCGUAGCCGGUUUAAUAAGUCUCUGGUGAAAUCCUGUAGCUUAACUGUGGGAAUUGCUGGAGAUACUAUUAGACUUGAGACCGGGAGAGGUUAGAGGUACUCCCAGGGUAGAGGUGAAAUUCUGUAAUCCUGGGAGGACCGCCUGUUGCGAAGGCGUCUAACUGGAACGGUUCUGACGGUGAGGGACGAAAGUUAGGGGCGCGAACCGGAUUAGAUACCCGGGUAGUCCUAACUGUAAACGAUGCGGACUUGGUGUUGGGGUGGCUUUGAGCUGC
rnacentral:rRNA from 1 species